rnacentral:misc_RNA from 1 species
GAUGAAGAACGCAGCGAAAUGCGAUAAGUAAUGUGAAUUGCAGAAUUCAGUGAAUCAUCGAAUCUUUGAACGCAUCUUGCGCUCCUUGGUAUUCUGAGGAGCAUGCCUGUUUGAGUGUCAUUAAAUUCUCAACUACACUGACUUUGAAUUGGUGUGGCUUGGAUUUGGGGGGAAAAUUGUUGUGGGCUUUUUGUAUAGUCUGCUCCCCUGAAAUUGAUUAGCGGUACCUUUGUGGAACUGUCUACAGUUGUGAUAAUUAUCUACAUCUUAGACAUCUGCUGGAAUGCUGCUUUCUAAACCUUACUUGUAUUGACAAUCUUGACCUCAAAUCAGGUAGGACUACCCGCUGAACUUAAGCAUAUCAAUAAGCGGAGGA